AGCUUAGGAGAGGCUCCCGAACAGCAAGGACCCCGGUCAAUCGCCGAAGGACCCAGACUUGCGUGGCGAACAGAUCCACGUGACCACCAGGGGUCAGCCGUAGAAUAGGAGUGGCCUUAAGCGACGACAGAGUCCGGGCGUGCUGUAUGGGAGCGGCUAGUCGUGCGCGUGAGCCAGCCCAGGUGGGCUAGGACCUUCAAAACGGUGCGCUGCCGGCCAGCGAGCAGUCCAGGUUUCAAUACACAGGAAACUACAUCUCCCAGGAAGCACCGCAGCACCGGACCCAUCUUUGUGAGCAACUACAAGUCUCAAGCUAUCCUGGGACCUGUAGUUUGUCGGCUUACACAAUUAACGGAAACCAUACUGUACAUCUUCAGUCUGACUUAGGGUACUGGGCAGCUAUAGCAAAGACCCAGCAUUGCCCAGAAAAGGCAUAAAUUAUACCUUUUUCCCCUUUUUUUGAGACGGAGUCUCGCCCUAUCGCCCAGGCUGGCAUACAGUGGCGUGAUCUCGGCUCACUGCAACCUCCGCCUCCCGGGUUGAAGCAAUUUUCUGCCUCAGCUAGGGUUACAGUCGCCAU
rnacentral:lncRNA from 10 species